UUUCUAUUGUCUAUAUUCUAGUUUCAUAUGUCUCUUUGACAUGUCCCAUUUCUAUUGUCUCUAUUCUAUUUUCAUGUAUGUCUCUUUGACAUAUCUCAUUUCUAUUGUCUAUAUUCUGUUUUCAUAUUUUUUGUCUCUUUGACAUACCCCAUUUUUAUUGUCUAUAAUCUAUUUUCUAUGUUUGCCUCUUUGGCAUACCCUAAUUCUAUUGUCUAUAUUCUAUUUUCACAUGUUUGUCUCUAUGACAUAUCACAUUUCUAUUGUCUAUAUUUUUUUUGCAAAUGUUUGUCUCUGUGACUUACACCAAUUCUAUUGUCUUUAUUCUAUUUUCCUCUGAUGUAUGUGAUAUUUCUAAUGUCUAUAUUCUA
rnacentral:lncRNA from 1 species